rnacentral:rRNA from 1 species
GACGAACGCUGGCGGCGUGCUUAACACAUGCAAGUCGAACGAUGAAGCCCUUCGGGGUGGAUUAGUGGCGAACGGGUGAGUAACACGUGGGCAAUCUGCCCUUCACUCUGGGACAAGCCCUGGAAACGGGGUCUAAUACCGGAUAAUACUCCUGCCUGCAUGGGUGGGGGUUAAAAGCUCCGGCGGUGAAGGAUGAGCCCGCGGCCUAUCAGCUUGUUGGUGGGGUAAUGGCCCACCAAGGCGA